UCCGCCCAGGCCGAUCCCGGAGCCGGCGCUGCCGCGAGGCACCAAACCAAAGCCCCGACCUCGGGGCGUGCAGAGCUUUUUAUUUACUGCGCCUUUUGCCUUACUCCAGACUCUGCGGUGAGCUGGUUUGUACCCCCAUUUGAAAAAUUAAAAUCCACAGAACUCGAGCUCCCAAGUGCAUUUUGAACAACCGGGGACUACUGAGCCAGGCACCCAAAAGGAGGAGCCCACAUGCGUGCUCUGCAGCGCGCGCGCGCACACACAGCAAGCAGCUCGGAUCGGGGCUCCCUGGUGCUUCAAGAUCAUUACUACGCCAAGAAUUCAGUUUUAGGAGCUCUGGUAGAACAGAGGGCUUGCAUAGCAGGCUGGACGCAACAACAACAACAACAAAAAAGUGAAUUAAGGUCCUCCUGCCCACGCCGACUCCCUAGGCUCAGCGUGCUCACCGGGUCCGGCUUCUCCCCGAGCUGCCUCUGCUCUGGGGUCCCCGAGUCUCUGCGAUUCCUUCUUUCCACUUGCUCAAGCUGAGCUGUCAAGAGGUAUGCUUGACCGCCCCCGCCCCCGCCAUCCCUGGUCCAAACCACCCACAAAUCCUGCAGGUUCUGCAUUCCGAAUAAACCUAUGCCCUGACCCCUUCUCACUGUGACCCUCAAAAAUCUGCCGCACCCAUGCACACCCCUUGGUGACUCCGUCUGCCUCCAGCCGCACGGGCCGCCCUGCAGGCCCGGAAUCCUCGGGCCAGCAACUGCCCCUUCCUCACCGGCACCACUGUUGACUCGGGCUGAUCCCACCCUCUAAAGAGGGCUUCCCUGGCUGUUCAGUUACAGCCCCUAGCUCAUGCUCAAUAUUUCACUCCUGUCUUUAUUGUGUCUCCCCCAAGUAGACUAUAUGGGCCGGCAAUGUUUUAUUAUGUUGUUCACUACCACCUGAAUAUUCUGGGCUCCAGGAGCACAUAGUGGGUGCUCAAUAAAUGUAAAUUACUGAAGAUAUAGAUGGUCACCAGACAUGGGGGCACAGGCCUGUACACCCAGCAUUUGCAAGGCUGAGGCAGAAGGAUCAAUGUGAGUUUGAGGCCAGCUUGGGCCGUAUAAGCGAGUUCAAUGCCAGCCUGCACUACAUAGCAAGACCCCGUCUCAAAAAAACAUAAGAUACAGAGAGUCCUCAACUUGGGACAGGGCUGUGUCUCAUUACACCCAUAGAAAGAUGGAAAAUGCAUGCAAUACAUUUAACCUACUGAUGCCGUAGCUUAGCCCACCUACCUUAAAUAGCAUCAGAACUUUUGCCUGAAGUUGGGCAAAACCAUCUAACACAAAGCAUCUUUUGCAGUAAUAUGUUUACUAUCUCAUAAUGUAUUGUGUAACAUUGGCCACACGCUAGCUUCUGGGUUAUCAGUUGUUUACCCUCACAGUUGUGUGGCAGACUCUGCCCAGAAUCACAGGAGAGCAUCCUACCGAACUGUCACCAGCUUAAAAAACAAUCAGUCGUGUGUAGUAUACUUGGCAAGGGACACCAGGUGGCUGCGAAAACCGGUGAACUUUAAUCAGGACAGGGAAGACUCACGAGGUUGAGGAAAAGGAGGGAGGGAGUGUCAAGCGAUCUAUAUAACGGUCCAGACGUCUGGGAGGAAAACAUUAAAUGGUAAGGCCAUAGAGAAAAGAAGGAGCCAGGCGGGAUGAGGCACAUCUGUAGUCUGAACUACUUCAGAGGCUGAGGCAGGAGGGCCGCAAUUUCAAGCUAACUAACUUGGGCAAUGCAGUGAGACCCUGGGAGCUGGGGUGCGGUGGCACAUCCCCGUAAUCCCAGAACUCGGGAGGUUCUUGGGGCAGGCUUAGGAGGAGCUCAAGUUUGAGGCCAGCCUAGGCUACACGGUAAGACCUUGGCUAAAGAAAAAAAAGAGAGAGACAAAGAUAAUUGUCACCGAAGACAGGAUGGUGGGAACCUCAGUACAGGAAGGGAAUCGUCAAGGAGUUGGUGGGUGGUGUGUUAAUCUUUCCUCCGUGACCUGGAUAAUAGUGUACAGGUUUAUAAUUUUUUGUGGCUGUUUUUUUGAGACAGGGCCUCCCUGUACAGUUCAGGCUGGCCUUGAGCUCACUUUGUAGCCCAGGCUGGUCUUGAACUCACAACAAUCUUCCUGCCUCAGCCUCCCGAGUGCUGGGAUUACAGGCAUGCACCACCACGCCCAGCCAGGUUUAUAAUUUUUUUUUAUACUCUACAUGCUUUAUGCAUUUUUCUGUUUACAUCAGAGUUUUCAGGAAUCAAGGCAGCAUCUGGGAAGUGGGGUAACGGACCACUUUCUGCCUGUCUGUUUUCAGGGCAGGGAGGCUGCCCUGUGCUUAAGGCCUGGAGCAGCCAGCCGAGCUCCUGCAUUCCCAUCAGGGCUUUGCCACCUGCAUGGCGGGUCAGCCACCACUCCGUGCCCACGACCAUCUCAGGCCUAGAAUGUGGUACUAGGGACGGGGCAGGCACAGGGUGGGCUCGGUUAGGCCCUCCCAGGCAUUAGCCGGCAGCAGGCACAGCUGCAGUCCACACAAAUCCUUUCUCUGCUCACUGUUGGAGGUGGGAGAGAUGAAACAGCUGGGAGAGAUGGAACAUUGUUGGCGGUGGGAGAGAUGGAACAGCUGCAGGGCUGGGGAGUGCCCUGCGAUCCCCUAACCCGGAAAACCACAUCGUUCACACUGAACGCAGUCCCUGCAAAGCCUGAGUUUGUCCUCAGAGCUGUGCACUGGGAGGCGUGCCGAGAAGGGGUGCUCUCCACGGGGGUCCCCACCUUCCGGGUCGUAGUGACUUUCCUGUCACCAGCACACAAAGCCUGACACCCACAACUUAGAAGAGCUUCCGCUGGGCGUGGCAGCACACACGCCAGGAUCCAGUCACCUCCCCCAGCCCCACUGAUGCGCGGGCCCAAACCUAACCCGAAAUAAUCCGGGGAGUUGGAGGCCGGUGAGAGCCUGGCCCCGGGCCCCGCGGGUUCGCAGGGGAGGCAAAGCCCGCUGCUCUUGGCUCUCGGCUCCUCCUGGCCGGCAGGGCCUGAGUGUACAGAGUGACAUCCGGCCAGCUAGCCCCUGAAAGCUCCGUGAAGGCCGCGUGUGGGGAUCCUCGGCAGGGUAGCAGAGACGGGAGUGUUGGGGACCGCUGAGGAGUGGCCACUAGAGAGAGGGGUGGGGCAGGCCAGGGCUAAGACCAAGACUAAGGGCAAUAAUGGCCUCGCCCAGGCCGUGUGGCCUCAGAGUAGCUCGCAGGCAUCUGCACCUCAGUUCCCUCAGGGAAGAGUGGGGAGCCCCUGCCCAUGGGGUGGUCGGAGGAGUGAGCAGGCUGGUGCUCCAAACCGUGUGGCACAGAGCCUCGCACGGAAAGGGCUUUGUGAGCCUUCCAGGGAAGCCAGCUGCGCCAAGGUCCGGGGCCGCAGGGUUGGGCUGACAAAGGGAUUCAGAUGGCCUCGCCAGGGAAGACGCUGCAACUCACAGGAAGGGAGGAGCCACAGCACCGCCAGGGCCUGCCCGUCCGGGUCCGCCCGGUGUCAGCCACAGGGUGCAGCCGGGAGCGGGCCGGCCUCUGCCCACGCAGCGCGUCUGUCUCUUUCACACUAGUGGUAUU
rnacentral:lncRNA from 1 species